rnacentral:tRNA from 1 species
GGAGAUAUAGCUCAGUGGUAGAGCGCUGCUUGCCUAAUAUGCAAUGAGACCCUGGGUUCAAUUCCUCAUUAUAUAUCA